rnacentral:misc_RNA from 1 species
CAACCUUGGCACCGGUAGCCAUUUAUAUUUUGUGCAGAAUAGCUGAAUCAAUCCACGCAAUUUAACCCGCCACUGAGCGGGUUUUUUUAU